AUUGAACGCUGGCGGCAUGCCUUACACAUGCAAGUCGAUCGGUAACAGGUCUUCGGAUGCUGACGAGUGGCGAACGGGUGAGUAAUACAUCGGAACGUGCCUAGUAGUGGGGGAUAACUACUCGAAAGAGUGGCUAAUACCGCAUGAGAUCUACGGAUGAAAGCAGGGGAUCGCAAGACCUUGUGCUACUAGAGCGGCCGAUGGCAGAUUAGGUAGUUGGUGGGAUAAAAGCUUACCAAGCCGACGAUCUGUAGCGGGUCUGAGAGGACGAUCAGCCACACUGGGACUGAGACACGGCCCAGACUCCUACGGGAGGCAGCAGUGGGGAAUUUUGGACAAUGGGCGCAAGCCUGAUCCAGCAAUGCCGCGUGCAGGAUGAAGGCCUUCGGGUUGUAAACUGCUUUUGUACGGAACGAAAAGCCCUGGGUUAAUACCCUGGGGUCAUGACGGUACCGUAAGAAUAAGCACCGGCUAACUACGUGCCAGCAGCCGCCGUAA
rnacentral:rRNA from 1 species